GUACACACCGCCCGUCACACCAUGGGAGUGGGUUUCACCAGAAGUAGGUAGCCUAACCGCAAGGAGGCAGGCGACCACGGUAGGGUCAGCGACUGGGGUGAAGUCGUAACAAGGUAGCCGUAGGUGAACCUGCAGAAGGAUCA
rnacentral:rRNA from 1 species